rnacentral:rRNA from 1 species
UAAGGUGACUUUAGCGGUGGUGUCCACCUCUUCCCAUUCCGAACAGAGAAGUUAAGCCCACCAGCGCCGAUGGUACUGCCAAACCAGGUGGGAGAGUAGGUCGUCGCCAACC